AAAACACUUGGUUUCUAUUAUGGUUUAAUUGCUUUCAUGGAGAUUGAGUUUGAAUACCUUGGCUCCAAUGUAGAAGCAGGAUGAACAGAAUAAUGCUCCUUAUCAUGUCAUGUUGAGGCUGGAUCAGUCAAAUCAUGAUCUGUGAUGAAAAACAUUUUAGUUGGCAGUACAGGACAUCAUUAUCAUGCCUGAGCAAAAUUGUACACAGACACAAAUUAUUAGUCAAGUCACCUUUAUUUAUAUGUAACGGGGCGUGUUUUAGAACUACAAAUCCCAUUAGCCUCAGUUCUAUAAAAGGAAGUAAGGAGAUUUGUUCGUUCACUUCCGCCUUUGUUCCGUUGAAGAUUUAUGAAUGAAAGUCGCGGCAGAUCUAAGGUAUGCCGUUAUACAUGUUAGAUAAGUAUGUCUUGCACACGUAGAUGUUAAAUAAUGCGCUGCCCCUCUGUGUGUUGUACGUCUUCCUGGUCAUUGAAAUUGAAGUCGCAGCUUGUCUGUGUUGCAUGGUGGCAAUCGACCAAAUGUGUAAGGAUCGUUGGUGCUGUCAUGCAUCAAAUAUUGGAACGUUGUUGAGUGCUGAACAUAUGAUGCAUCAUUUAGGAGUAUUUUGGCUGGAUGGUUGCCUGAGUGUCAUAAACCAAAAUAACGGAUGGUAGAGGUAUUAUUUUUAUUUUUUUAAAGGGAGUUUUAAAUGUGUUUUAAUGAUUUUAAUAUUUUUCUUGAAUGUUUUAUUUCUUUUAAAAAUGUUUUGGGUAUGUCAUUUCCUUUUGUAUUCUAUAAAUAUCUUUUUAGUAAUUGGUUGUUUUCCCUUACAGGGAUGCACGAUUACCGUUUAUUUUUAGGGUGAAUUAUUAAGAUUGUUUGUGUUCUUUUUUUUUUUUUUUUGGUUGGAUGUUGGACCGGAGUGGGCUAAGGGAGAACUGAGGUCACACUAAAGACAAAAAAAGGGAUGAAGUAGAACAUUGUUAUUUUACAGUGUUGCCUUAUUUGUCCUAUUUGCAUUACCCACUGUUAAUACUGUUGUUUGUUGUGUUUCUUUGUUUUAGAUUUCUUUUGACCUGACGGUGGCUGCGGGGUUGCCUUCACUGGUGGAUAGCAGAGGUGUGGUGGUUUGGUCACUUUAUUUUUUCUUCCCUUUAGGCUUGCAGUGUGAUUGCCGUGAGCUUGAUUGCAGUGGGAGCACGGUUGCCAUUUCCGUUUUUUUUUUUCACAGUCUAGGUAACCUGUGGCCAUCUGUAGGUCUUGUUUCUUUAUUUUUUAUUGUUUUUGUUUACAUUUUUCCUUUGUGGGUAAUUGCAUUGAAGGUCUGCUAUAUCUGUUUAACAUGUUCAUGUUUGUUUUCUUUGUAAUUGUUUUCCUUUGAAUAAAAUGUUUGUUUAUUGAAACUUCACUACUGCCUUCUGCCUGCUCAUUUCCCUCGUUUGGGUCAUGAUGUCAUAUAUAUAUAUAUAUAUAUAUAUAUAUAUAUAUAUUAGUGCUUUAAACAAAAAAGAUUGCUUCAAAGCAACUGAACAACAUUUAUUAGGAAAACAGUCGGUGCGUCCGAAAUUGCAUGCUGCGUACUGGGUACUACAUUUGAAUUUGAACGUACUACUUGACUGUUAGAAAAGGAUGUUCUAUAUAAUAUGAAUGUGGGAAGUAUGAAUGAAAUUCGGACAUACUGCAUCUGCCAUGUUGACAUUGUCACUUGACAUACGUCGUCACAACAGCGUAAAAAUGUAAAGUGCCCACUGUACAGAGUGAACCUCAGCGACGUUUUUCGUUAUUCAUACCGCUUUCGUCUGCUUUUUUUUUUUUUUUUUUUUUUUUUUUUUUUUUUUUGACUGAAUUAACAGUCAGCUGCUCACAGAUCACGCCUUUUGUUGGCGGCUUGUAAAUCCUUUACUAAAUAUACAUUUAGCUUGUAAUUUUUUUUUUACCUCAGAAUAACGGUAGCUACAGCUGUUAACCG
ensembl:lncRNA